AGUAGCAACAGAAAUUAAGGGAAGGGAUAGAUCUGGGAGGUAAAAUUGACAGAAUUAUUUGGAUGUGGAAGUGAGGUAGAGACCCCCACAUUUCCAGCUUGGUAUGGUAAUUCCAAAAAUCUAAUAGGAAAUUCAGAAAGGAGAUGUAGAAUGGGGUGGGGGUGUGAUUAUUUGGUUUGAAAUUGAAAACAUCUAGAUGGGGAUGUCUAGCAGGCAGUUGACUAUUGUAAGUCUGAAGCUUAUGGGAGAGGUUAGGACAGGGGAUGCAGAUUUGCAGCAGUGAAAAUCAGGAAUGUGGAUAAGAUCAACAAGGAAAUCUUGUGGUCUAAGAAGAGAAAUGGGCUGAGGAAAAUCAGUUAUAAUUGUCUCCAAGAUAGUAUUUCAAGUUUCUGAUUUAUUGAAAUGUUGGUCUGUGCUUUAUUGCUUAAAGGUUCUGUACAUCGGCCUGGCCUGUAAUACGGCUCGCUAUAUUUAUAUUUCCUACCUGGAGAAUGCCUGGACUGUUCUCCCCAUGGAAGUUCUUCAAG
rnacentral:sRNA from 1 species